AUCGAAAUAAUAUUAAAAAUACACAUAUUUUAAGCAGUUUUAGAGAUUGAGACACAAUGACUCCACACGUCAUCCCUCUUCUUCAAGAAUUGUAUUUCACGGCCAAUUAAGCUUGGUCUGUCAGCAAUAUAUUUAAUGAGAUUAUCGUGACAUACUUUUCCCUCUUGGACAAAAUCGUGGCAGCAAGACUCAAUGAGGGUUCCAUUUCCAAAAACUACAUAGAUUAUAUUCAGUGCACAUUUAGGAGUGAUUUUAACGAGACAAGUGUUCCAUAAUGAUUUUGCUUCAGCUUCUUCGACAGAAAAUACAGGAUUAAACGCACACACUAAAGCUACAACAAUGAAUAACGCUGUAACAUGAGAGCUUAGUUUAGCCAUAUUUUGUUCUUAUGCUUGGAAUUUAUCGAUUUAUUUUUCUUGUAUGAAAAGAAUGUAAUGAAGUAUGUUUUUUAUUUGGUAUUCUAGUCAAG
rnacentral:sRNA from 1 species